rnacentral:misc_RNA from 1 species
AGGUGUCUGUUGAGAAAGGAGGUGCCCGGUGCCUAUGCCUGGCUUCCCCCCCAUCCAUCGAGGAGGAUGGGUGAGCCAUCGGUGGCAUAGGCACACCCCGGUCGGCGGAUCGAUGAAAGGUUGUGGGUUUUUCGACGGUCGGAACCUUUCAUCGAUCCGCCGGCCACGGCCUGUGGGAAAGUAGUGCUCUGUUCGAUCUUUCUCGAGAGGAGAGGGACGGUUGAACUCGGAUUUUGGUCUUCCCAACGUACUUCACAGAAACGUGAGCGUGGCUUCGGCUGUGGGAUCGGAGUAAUGAGGAUACCGCGGUCGGGUCAAGGUGUGGGUUUUUUAACCUCUCGUUGGAGAUCGGCACUGUCACUAAUUUCUCAUUUGGCCGUUGGUGGAGAUUAUUCAAUCAAUGAAUAAGCUCCAUCAUGUCCCGUCGGAAAAAUUUUUCAAAUCCGUCGCAAAUUUUUUCAAAUGUUUUCACUUGGUCUGGUGGGCUUGUAUUGCUUUGGUUGCUCUCCUUCUUGGGAGGAUAGGGACGGUUCAUCUCGGAUUUUUGGUCUUUCCAACGUUCUUCACAGAAACGUGAGCAUGGCUUCGGCUGUGGGAUCGGAGUAAUGAGGAUACCGCGGUCGGGUCAGGGUCUGGGUUUUUUAACCUCUCUGGGGAGAGCGACGCCGUCACUACUUUCUCACYUGGCCGUUGUCAUGUCCCGUCGCAAAGUUUUUCAAAUGUUUUCACUUGGUCAAGUGGGCUCGUAGUGCUCUGUUCGAUCUUUCUCGAGAGGAGAGGGACGGUUGAACUCGGAUUUUGGUCUUUCCAACGUACUUCACAGAAACGUGAGCAUGGCUUCGGCUGUGGGAUCGGAGUAAUGAGGAUACCGCGGUCGGGUCAGGGUCUAGGUUUUUUAACCUCUCGUUGGAGAKCAAAGUUUUUCAAAUGUUUUCAGAUUAUUCAUUAUUUUCCACAUCACAUCAUCCCGAAAAAAAUGCGGAAGAACUAGCAUGCUUCGGCUUGUGCUAACUUGAUGCAUCAAAAGGUUUGUUGCGGUGGGUUGGGGGUAAUGGAGAAUCAUUUGGUUUUGAAACAAACAAGAAAAAAAAAAUGGUUUCCUUGUCCCUUGAAGGUUUUUGUCCCUCGGAUUGUGUGUUUCUUCGCGUGAAGCGGUGCUGGUGUGGUCUUGCUUGAUGUUUCCGCAUUCUCAGCGGUUCUAGUAACCGUUGGGUUGUGGUUCGUUUGGUUGGGUCAUCAUCAAGUGUACGCAACUCACGUGUGAGUGGUGGUUGGAUUGCAUGGGUCUGCAAGCUCCUUGCUCAGCGCAACGAAUUGCAAGCUCUCUAUCCUUUUCAUAGUCCUUCCCCAAGCAUGGUCAUUUGCCUUGUGGGUAAGAUCGGUAUCCUGUGCGUUUUGCCAAUUGAAUGGAACUCGAUAGUUUUCAUUUCUCUAUUCGGCCGGUUCCCUUAGGGGUGUUGGGUGGACGAUAGGCCGACCUCGUGUUCCAGGUACAUCUCGCAUUUCUGCGUGGUUACCAUGGCCCAUGGGGUUGUGCUUGUUCUCUUGGAUGCGGAUCGUUAGUUGUGGGCGAGGGGUUACGACCUCCAUUCGUCCAAUCUAAUAUGCAUUUGUCAAUCGACACGAACGACCGCUGCACUUGUCUUGGCUUUUACGGUUGAAUGGCCGUACAAUGUCCAUGCGAGUGUCGGUGUCGUGAAGGAAUGC